rnacentral:lncRNA from 10 species
AAGGCAUGAUUAUAAAUGGUUUAUUUCUUUAGAUUAUAACAUCACAAUUAAAUUGCAUUUUUAAGACUGUUACUGCUGACAGUGCAUGGAAGUAUUGCUUUUUAAUCAUAGCGAAGUGUUAGGAGACCAGGGUGUUAUCUUAGGUAGUGAAUUUUAAGAAAGUGCUCACUUUUGCAGCCAGACUCACUAGUUUCCUCAUUUGUCUGUGGGUACUGUGAGCACUAAUGUAGACCACAAAAACUAUCCUACCCUUUCUAAUACUGCCAGUGCCAGAGAGCCAAUCAAGGCCCCGCCUCUUUGCCUCCCUCCCACACCCCUGCUCCACAAACUCCAUGCAGAACCAGGCACCAGGCGGGGCAGUCACAGCUCAGCAAGGAGAAGCAGCAGGAUGAGGAGAUCUGGCAGCUGCAGAAGGAACAUGGGGCCUGCUCUCAUUCCUGCAGAUGGGAAGGAGAGAAGGAAAGGAUUCUGCAUGGGAAUUCUCAAGACACGGGCCUCCCAAACUUUUAGAGCUUCAUCUUAAGCAACACUACUGAAGUAUUUGUUACUCAUACCCACAUCUUUCAAAUGAGGAAAUUGGGGCACAGAUUGCUCAGGUGACUGGCGUAGAGUCACAGAGCUGGUGAUGGCUGAGUCCAGAUUACCACUGAGGUGGUCUGACUCCAAACCUACAGCACGGAGCAUGGUACAAUGUUUACUUUUGCCUGAAAGUGUUAAGAAAGGCUUACCACUGGAAGAGACAUCUGAGACCCUAGCAGGCAGACACACAAGUGGCUGUGGCUGGACAUCGUGAGGAACACAUGGGUGGAAGAAGACACAGAGGCAGCUGGACGUGGAGAGGAGCACAUCAGCGGAGGAACACACCAGCACACAGCAGCUGGAUGUUGUGAGGAAAGCACUGACAGGCACCAGCACGAUGGCAGGCCACUGACUGGCAGGACAACGGGGAGUUUGGCCAGGGCAGUUGGAGGGGAGCCCAGGCCUCCCAGCAGCCCAGGUCCAAGGGAAAACCAUCUCCCUUCUGGCUCCCUGAUGGGCAGAGAGGUACUUCCACUCAGUAAAAUCUUGCACUCAUUCUCCAAACCCAGGUGUGAUCCGAUUCUUCAGGUACACCAAGGCAAGAACCCAGGAUACAGAAAGACCUCUGACCUUGUGACAAGGUAGAGAGUCUAAUUGAGCUGGUUAACACAAUCUGCCUAUGGACAGCUAAACUAAAAGAGCAAAACUAAAAGAACACCCUGUAACACAGGCCCACUGGGGCUUCAGGAGCUGUAAACAUUCACCCCUAGACACUGCUGUGGGGUCAGAGCCCCACCACCUGCCCAUCUAUAUGCUCCCCUAGAGGUUUGAGCAGUGGAGUACUGAAGAAGCAAGCAAUUUCCCCUGUCACAUGCCCUGUUAGGGGGACAAAAGAACCUUUCCCAUUUCACUGUGUCUCUGUGCCUGGGCUCUGCUCUCUAUUCUGGGACAUUAGCCCAGUCCUUUCAGGAACCUAAUACAUUUCAGCAGUUGAUUGGAGGCCCAGGGUUCUGUGCCCUGGCUGCAUCUGAUAGGAGGGCAUCCCCUCCUCCAUUCCAUGAUGGCCCC